rnacentral:rRNA from 1 species
CCUGCGUAAGAUUAGCUUGUUGGUGAGGUAAUGGCUCACCAAGGCUACGAUCUUUAGCUGGUCUGAGAGGAUGAUCAGCCACACCGGGACUGAGACACGGCCCGGACUCCUACGGGAGGCAGCAGUCGGGAAUAUUGCGCAAUGGGGGAAACCCUGACGCAGCCAUGCCGCGUGUGUGAAGAAGGCCCUAGGGUUGUAAAGCACUUUCAAUUGGGAGGAAAAGCUAAUGGUUAAUAGCCAUUAGCCCUGACGUUACCUUUAGAAGAAGCACCGGCUAACUCCGUGCCAGCAGCCGCGGUAAUACGGAGGGUGCAAGCGUUAAUCGGAAUUACUGGGCGUAAAGCGCGCGUAGGCGGCUCUUUAAGUCGGAUGUGAAAGCCCCGGGCUCAACCUGGGAACUGCAUCCGAUACUGGAGGGCUAGAGUGUAGGAGAGGGAGGUAGAAUUCCAUGUGUAGCAGUGAAAUGCGUAGAUAUAUGGAGGAAUACCAGUGGCGAAGGCGGCCUCCUGGCUUAACACUGACGCUGAGGUGCGAAAGCGUGGGGAGCAAACGGGAUUAGAUACCCCGGUAGUCCACGCCGUAAACGAUGUCUACUAGCUGUAGGGGUACUUGAGACCUUUGUAGCGCAGCUAACGCACUAAGUAGACCGCCUGGGGAGUACGGCCGCAAGGUUAAAACUCAAAUGAAUUGACGGGGGCCCGCACAAGCAGUGGAGCAUGUGGUUUAAUUCGAUGCAACGCGAAGAACCUUACCAGGCCUUGACAUCCUAGGAAUCCUGUAGAGAUACGGGAGUGCCUUCGGGAAUCUAGUGACAGGUGCUGCAUG